UUUCCUGGGUUCCUAUGACUGUGUUUGGAUUUCAAGUCCUGAGUUACAAUGUCCGGUGGAGAUGUUCCAAUGAGCAGUUCAGCCUCACUGUCCCUGCAAGUGAAAGCUCAAUACUUCUGACAGGUCUUAAUAGAUCAUCUUUAUGCACUGUCAUGAUCCAAGUCAACACAGAUGGCUCACCAAUGCCUCCAUUUUCUGUUUUCAUAUAUGGUUCAUGUGCUUGUCCAACAAAUUUAAAUACUG